rnacentral:rRNA from 1 species
CAGCAGCCGCGGUAAUACGUAGGGUGCGAGCGUUAAUCGGAAUUACUGGGCGUAAAGCGUGCGCAGGCGGUGAGUUAAGUCUGCUGUGAAAGCCCCGGGCUCAACCUGGGAACGGCAGUGGAAACUGGCUCGCUGGAGUAUGGCAGAGGGGGGUGGAAUUCCGCGUGUAGCAGUGAAAUGCGUAGAGAUGCGGAGGAACACCGAUGGCGAAGGCAGCCCCCUGGGCCAAUACUGACGCUCAGGCACGAAAGCGUGGGGAGCAAACAGGAUUAGAUACCCUGGUAGUCCACGCCCUAAACGAUGUCAACUGGGUGUUGGGGAAGCGAUUCCUUGGUACCGUAGCUAACGCGUGAAGUUGACCGCCUGGGGAGUACGGCCGCAAGGUUAAAACUUAAAGGAAUUGACGG